rnacentral:rRNA from 1 species
UACGUAGGGGGCAAGCGUUGUCCGGAAUCAUUGGGCGUAAAGAGCGUGUAGGCGGCUUGGCAAGUCUGACGUGAAAGCCCGCGGCUCAACCGCGGAUUGUCGUUGGAAACUGCCUCGCUAGAGUCCGGAAGAGGAGAGCGGAAUUCCUGGUGUAGCGGUGGAAUGCGCAGAUAUCAGGAGGAACACCGGUGGCGAAGGCGGAUCUCUGGGCCUUACCUGACGCUGAGGCGCGAAAGCUAGGGGAGCGAACAGG